rnacentral:lncRNA from 1 species
GAAGCUUGAGCUGUUAUUAAUGGAUUGUUCGUGCCACUGAAGUUUUGUUGGAGUAAGAAGCUAUAUGUAAGAAUUGAGGGGGGAUUAUUAUUUUUUGUCUCGGAAACAGCCUAGUAUGUGUUUAGAUGUCAGAUUUGUAAUUAAACCUUCGAUUUCGUUAUUUGAAAUUAAAUUGCAGAAAAAGGAUAAUAAACUUACUAGGAUGAAACUUAGAAUCCAAGCAAAAACACAACUUUUCUUCUUUGUAUAGGAUGAAACUUAGAAUCCAGGCAAAAACACAACUUUUCUUCUUUGUAUAUUCAGAUUUCUUGGUAUUGGUUUUGCCUUACAGUUCAUGGGAUACAUCAGUAUCAUGUUUUCGGUUAAACUGCCAUUGUCACUCGUUUAGACGAAGCCUGUUGGUGUUAGAGCAGGCCAAGUCCUUUUUGAUCCUGAGAUAAGGAGGAUAAUCAUACUAUGAAUUCAUCCUCUCGACUAAAGGAUAUUCCAAUGUAGAUGAAGGUCCUAAAAUUUUAAGCGUGUGUUUGGGAGUUAUUCUAGUCAAAUUUUAAUGAAAAUUUUGACUAUUAUAGAUGGUAAAUGGGCCUCACAUCUGCAAGGAAAUUGGCAAAAAAGGGGACAAAAAUUGCAACCGUCUUUCACCUAGUAUUUGAAAUGUCAAAAACGUCUUUGUAAUGGUGCAGAAUUUCAAAAAUGUAGGGACACCAUGAUUUUUUCACUAAAAUUUCUAAUUGACUGGACAGUGCAGUCAAAAAAUGUUGCAACAUUGUGGGCCCAUUUUCUGUAGAUAACGGAUGAAUUUCUCAUUAUAAUUUCGAAAGAAGCGCUUUCGGACAUGCCCUAAGUGUCAUUUCAUUAACAUUAAACGAGUUUAUUAAGUUGAACUCGAACUAAUUCUUGAACACAAGUGACAAUCAAAUUUGUCGAAUGUUGUGCCGGAUCCAGUCAAUGGUAUAUGGAAUAAAAAUUGGAUAGGGCUUUCGGGAAUUAAGACUGUAGCAAAAAUAUGGAAAUAAUCAGGAAACCAAUAAAAGAAAAGACCAAAAAAGUAAAAAAAGAACAUGGGGUGAGAGAGGCUCGAACUCUCGACCUCAGGAUUACUCAGAAAGCUAUGAGACCUACGCGCUAGCCAACUGCGCCACCACCCCUGCAUGUUGGUCUGAUUCAUUCAAAAACUGAUAACAGUUAAAUUUUCAGUGUCUAGCCCUCCCGUAAAUGUAUUCUGGACUAAUGCAGCUACCUGAACUGCAGACUUCGUUAGCCAACUGAUCCCUACGAGCGGUGCAAGUGCUCGUCCGUUGGAAUGCUUGUUAAGCGUGCAGAUUUCCUUGCCGCAAUAAAAAACUUAACGAAAUCCUUUGAGAAAAACUGUACGACUGCUCUGCACUGGUAGUCCUAGUGAAUGGUUUCAACCAAAUUUUCCCCUCUUAUCUAUUUCCUGAUAAAAUUACAUGUUUAGUCAUUUUACUCUAAACAUAGCUUAACGUGCCUUGAGGAUUUUAUACGUCCCGCUUUAAAGGUUGGUACCAAUUUGCUACAUAUGUCAUGGGUCAGGGACCAAUGUUCACAUUUUUUUUUCCCUAGUAGAGCCACUCUACCUGUAUGGUAAAUGGGACCCACGAAAGUUUCAAUCAUGCUAUUUGUACAAUGUAUUUUACAACUUAGUUUAUAAUGCAUGAGUUUUCAAACAUCACAUCCAUCUAUUUGAAAAAUUAUUUUUAAAAUCAAUUACCAGGAUUUUUCAACACGUUUGUUGUCAACCAAGUUGUGCAAGUACAUUAUAUAAUUGGCUUUAUUCCGAAAGUUUUCUAAAGGAUGAGCUCAGCUGCCAACCCCUGUUUAAAUUCCCUGUCCCCAGCCCUAUUUGAGUAGCAUUACUGCUAAAAAAAAUUCGGUGAAACAGAACCAUAAAGUUUGUGAUUGAGUCCGAACUUAAAACUAGGAAUAUAAAGAAACAAGAAGUUGAGUUACAUGUCAAAUCACUGGAACUUGAGUUGGAAGCCUUGCAUUCGAGCAUUGGUACUUUAGAAGAAGAGAUUAAAAGAGAAAAAUGUGUUUCGGGGGAAGCUGUUGUGAGGUGUCAGACAUUAGAAAACGAGAUUUCGAGAAUGAAACUGGAUUAUCAGCUUCAGAGAUCAGCUGGAAUUGAAGAGUUCAGAAUCAAUCAGGUUAGUUGCUAAAAACUCUGUUGGUCUAAGUUCAUUGUCGUUUAGUAUGUAUGCAAGGCAGUGGUCUUAUAUUUGACAGAAAGUCUCAAAUAUAUUCAUCCAUAAUUUGACAGUUUACCAUCAAAAUGAGUAACUUACACUUCUUUAAUUUUGACCUAUAGAAAAAGUAUUUUGCUUGCUUAUAAGUAUACUUUUUAAGUUUAGCAAAACAUGCUGUCGGUUAUGUUUAGUUAAUAUAGUUCAAUCAACAAACUUGUUGGAAAUUUGAGUAAUACUAAGGUGUAAUUUAGCUCACAUAUCCUAGAUGACUCUGAAAAAACAACUUUCACUUUUUCAUUUCAAAACCAAUGUAAAAGUAAUUUUAUGGGAUUUACUUAUUUCCUUAAUCAGUUAGGUAUAAAAUUGUGAAAAAUAUGCUUUAUUCGAAUCUGACUUGCUGAUUUUUUAACACAUAUGGUGUCUAUUGCUUGCAUUGACUGCAGGAUAAAGAACUGGCAGUGGCUGCUAGUAAAUUCACUGAGUGUCAAAAGACAAUUGCUUCUCUCAGUCGACAGCUAAAAUCUCUCGCGACAUUUGAUGAUUUCCUGAUAGACUCAGAGAGGCCAGUAUGACUCCUUUGAAAAAGCACAUUCGCAAUCUUCGUGUUAAAAUUGCAUUCCCGAGGAAAUUUCACCCAACAUUAUAUUACGAAGCUUGAGCUGUUAUUAACGGAUUGUUCGUGCCACUGAAGUUUUGUUGGAGUAAGAAGCUAUAUGUAAGAAUUGAGGGGGGAUUAUUAUUUUUUGUCUCGGAAACAGCCUAGUAUGUGUUUAGAUGUCAGAUUUGUAAUUAAACCUUCGAUUUCGUUAUUUGAAAUUAAAUUGCAGAAAAAGGAUAAUAAACUUACUAGGAUGAAACUUAGAAUCCAAGCAAAAACACAACUUUUCU